ensembl:snRNA U4 U4 spliceosomal RNA
AGCUUUGCGCAGUGGCAGUAUCAUAGCCAGUGAGGUUUAUCCGAGGUGCGAUUAUUGCUAAUUGAAAAAUAUGUCUCCCAGUCUGCCAUAGAUCUUUUCAUUUCCUUAAGAAGGAAGGAAACUUUUGAAGGGAGCUCCUUUUU